rnacentral:rRNA from 1 species
CCUACGGGAGGCAGCAGUGAGGAAUAUUGGUCAAUGGCCGCAGGGCUGAACCAGCCAAGUCGCGUGAGGGAUGACGGUCCUAUGGAUUGUAAACCUCUUUUGUCAGGGAGCAAAGGGCGCCACGUGUGGCGCUUUGCGAGUACCUGAAGAAAAAGCAUCGGCUAACUCCGUGCCAGCAGCCGCGGUAAUACGGAGGAUGCGAGCGUUAUCCGGAUUUAUUGGGUUUAAAGGGUGCGCAGGCGGAAUGUCAAGUCAGCGGUAAAAUUUCGGGGCUCAACCCCGUCGUGCCGUUGAUACUGGCGUUCUUGAGUGAGCGAGAAGUAUGCGGAAUGCGUGGUGUAGCGGUGAAAUGCAGAGAUAUCACGCAGAACUCCGAUUGCGAAGGCAGCAUACCGGCGCUCAACUGACGCUCAUGCACGAAAGCGUGGGUAUCGAACAGGAUUAGAUACCCCAGUAGUC